rnacentral:rRNA from 1 species
AUGGCACCAGGAAGCAAGGCAGAGAAAAAAGCAGCAUUGGAUGCCGGGGCAUGGAUGUUCAAUGUUGUAACUUCGGUUGGCAUAAUCAUGGUCAACAAGGCCUUAAUGGCUACACAUGGUUUUAGCUUUGCCACAACAUUGACUGGGAUGCAUUUUGCAACUACCACUUUGAUGACAUUGGUAAUGAAAUGGUUAGGAUACGUUCAGCCAUCUCAUUUACCUCUGUCGGAGCUAGUAAAGUUUGUAUUUUUUGCAAACCUAUCAAUUGUUGGGAUGAAUGUUAGCUUGAUGUGGAACUCUGUUGGCUUUUAUCAGAUUGCGAAGCUAUCUAUUAUUCCCCUUCUAUGCAUUAUGGAGGUCCUGUUCGAAAAUUUCCGUUACUCGAGGGAUACAAAGCUUAGUAUAGUGGUUGUCCUUGUAGGUGUGGGAGUGUGUACAGUUUCUGAUGUUAGUGUAAAUGCGCAAGGAUUGGUAGCUGCCGUAAUAGCAGUUUGCGGCACUGCAUUGCAACAGCAUUAUGUCAAUUACCUUCAACGGAAGUACUCGCUCAACUCACUCAAACUCUUGGGUCACACUGCACCAGCUCAAGCAGCUUCACUGUUGAUAUUAGGCCCAUUUGUGGACUUCUGGCUGACCAGGAAUAGAAUCGACACUUUUCACUACACCAGCACAGUGACGUUCUUCAUUGUACUGUCAUGCGUUAUUUCAGUCGGGACCAAUCUCAGCCAAUUCAUAUGCAUUGGAAGAUUCACCGCCGUCACGUUUCAAGUGAUCGGACACAUGAAGACAAUUCUCGUGCUAACCCUGGGGUUUCUGUUGUUCGGGAAAGAAGGCCUGAAUUUCCACGUGGCGUUUGGGAUGAUCCUCGCCAUUGUUGGGAUGAUAUGGUACAGCAGCGCGUCUUCGAAACCCGGAGGCAAGGAGCGGCAGGGUCUGGCGAGCGAGAAGGCCCAGAAGUCGCCACAGUCGGAGCUGGACGAUAAAGUAUGA